rnacentral:rRNA from 1 species
UCCUGUCGGUCCAAGUCGCAGCCACUAUUAUUGGGUCUAAAAUAUCCGUAGCUUGCCUGAAAAGUUUCCUGUGAAAUCCUAACUCUUAAGGUUAGGGCGUGCAGGAGAUACUCUCAGGCUAGAGACCGGAAGAUGUGAGAAGUAUGUCCGAAGUAGCGGUAAAAUGUUUUAAUCUCGGGCAGACUAACAAGAGCGAAGGCAUCUCACAAGGACGGUUCUGACAGUGAGGGAUGAAGGCUAGGGGCGCAAAACGG